rnacentral:rRNA from 1 species
CACCGGCGUCCCGAGUGGGAAUCACUUAUUAGGUCUAAAGCGCUCGUAUUCGGCUUUGUAAAUUUCUUGUGAAAUCGUGUCGCUUAACGGCACGGCGUGCAGGAAACACUGCAGAGCUUGGGACUGGGAGGCGUCAGAAGUAUUCCUUAGGGAGCGGUAAAAUGUGAUAAUCUAAGGAGGACUACCUGUGGCGAAGGCGUCUGACGAGAACAGGUUCGACGAUCAGGAGCGAAGGCUAGGGGAGCAAACCGG